rnacentral:rRNA from 1 species
AAUAGGCUAAUUAAGAGCGUAAGGGGAAUGCCUUGGCUCUCAGAGGCGAUGAAGGACGUGAUAAGCUGCGAUAAGCUGUGGGGAGUGGCACAAACACUUUGAUCCGCAGAUUUCCGAAUGGGGUAACCCGGCAUAUUGAAGAUAUGUCACACUGUAAAGUGAGCGAACCUGGUGAACUGAAACAUCUAAGUAACCAGAGGAAUAGAAAACAAAAGUGAUUCCGCUAGUAGUGGCGAGCGAACGUGGAACAGCCUAAACCUAUGUUGUUAAAGCAAUAUAGGGGUUGUAGGACCUCAACAUUUAAUGCUAAUAGAACUAGAAUUUACUGGAAAGUAAAACC